GCCUCCCGGGCGCGCUUGUCCCACGCACACCCCCGCGAGGCUCCCUGGGCAGUCCGGCUGCAGGCUGCUCCCGAGGGAGCGCUUCCAGCUCACCGAGUUUCGGGAGUGAGUGGGUGUGAGUGUGUGCGCGUGUGAGUAAGUGUGUCGACGCGCGUGCGUGCACUGCUUCAGGAACUCCUGGAGUUUUACCGACUUCCUACGUCGCAGGGAGAAUACGAGACCUCUGGCUGGGACCCCUUGCCGACUCGGACCGACCCCUCAACCUCCACUUCCUGCCCUGCGCCCCACUUCCCCCUUUCCAUUCUUCCAUCGGUAGACGCGGUACCGUCUGUAUGUCACGCCCUCCUGGUAACCAGCCACACAGGCUGGCGAAAGGACUGCCCGGGUUAUCAGGAUGCCCCAGAUUGCAGACAGAGAUGCUGGCCUGAGAUUGUAAUCCACCCCUGCAUUGUAAAACGGGCAGGAACCGGAGUUUUGCUUUAAGAUUACUCGGCGAAGACUUCGUCUGAAGAAGAAAGCGUGUGUGUGUUUGUGUGUGUGUUCGCGCGCGCGCGGGGCAGUGGAAACCUCAGCACCUGCUGCAAGGAUACCUGAGCGCCCACUCUCCUCGGACGCACAGCAGCUGAUAGGCACGCUCAAGACCAGGCUGACCAACCAGGUUUGGUUACCUAAAAGAUGUUUAUUGACUCAAGGACACCAUACUUGUAAAGCCAGCCGAUUUCCUAAAACAGCACUAGGUAGAAAGAGCAGUACCCUGAAUGAAAUCAUGGAAGGAAUGAGGCAGUGGUUGAGUGCCAGGGUUGAAACAACAAAAUCCUUGGGUUUCUUAAAACUGAUAAUUGGUCAGUACAUUUUUAAUGCAUGGCGUAUUUCUACAUUUAAAAAUAAGGUAAUUGGUACCUUUGCUAUCAGAACACUAGUACUAUGGUUGAGUCCAUCUAUAAAAUACCUUCUCCAUCUAUAAAAAUGAUUCCCUAUUUCCUGAGGUGCCGUCCGAUUCUGAUAGUCUCUGAAUUCUUAUACAUUUCGGUUUAUUUUCUCUGUGUUCUUAUUAUGAAAGUAGAGAUACCCAUAAAAUUUUCCUUCUUGGUUGAUAAGAGAUGCUGGUAGGGAAAUGACGUUUUGAAUGGAAAUUACUCACUGAGGUGUAGGGACAGCAAAACUGUGUGGCUAGAAGAAAUAACCAGAACAGGGCAGCCUUGGAGAUGCGAUUGUGCUUUGGCAUAUGAAAGUUAAGAGUUGAUAAAUCACUUCAAGUGCUGCUUAUGGAAGCAGAUAUUUUCAUCCUGGUUUGAAUCCUGCAUUACACAUAAGUGUUUCCACACUGUUUUAACUAAGGAAACAUUAUGCUGUGUUAUGUAAACAUAUGAUUCCAUCUUUCUUUAAGGGAAGAAAUAAUUAUCACACUUAAUGAAACACCUGGAAAUGUUUAUUGCCACCUUCUAAUUAGAUCUGUCAUAGAGAGUUAAGUCAGCAAGUUAUCGUUGAUAUUCUAGCUAGUAACACAGUUAGCUUUUUUGCAGAUCUUUUUGAGUGCCUGUUUCCCUCCACGCACAUUAAUUGCCUCCUGCUUUUGAGUUUUUACCUAUAAUUUGAAUAAAUAAAAUUUAAGGAAGUGGUAUACUACCUACCUUCCUGUAAAAUAUGAAUAGCUAGUUGUUGCACGUUUUGUGUAGAGCUCUUUAUAAGCCGUGUGUUCACCUAGAUUACCUGAUGAUUUAGGGAUCAUUUAUCAAUCACUCAGUAUAGGAAGGUUCCCUUAAAAAAAUAGCGAUCGUGAACAAAUGGGCCUUUUAAAAAAUUUUUUUAAGGGAGAUUUUUAAUCUAUAGUGCCUUCUAUUCUAGCAUGUUUAAAUUUAACUAGAAAAUGUGUUGUGUGAGCUGGAUAAUCUCAUCUUUGUUGUCUCUCAAUUUCCUGUUUCUGACUCUAUUGCUAGACUUAGUCUUUGUCUAGGUAGUGAGGCCUUGAGAGGACAGGCUCUUCUGGUGUCCCGUGUGGAAUGGCAGAAACGGGGUGAAUGCACUGCAGAGGCUAGGAACAGAGUAUUUUACAAAGCCUGUUUUCUGCAGUUCUUCAUUCUGUUGAAAUUGGAGGAAAGGGCGUGUGGGGAGAAAUGAUUGCAUGCAAACGGUACUCAUUAGGAAAUGCUGUAUGAGGGGAAGGGUGGACUCCUAGGUGGCUGUGGCUUGGGGAACUUCUAAUAAAUGAUCACUGGAGUUAGCCCCAAUGCUGGACACUUCAGAGGUCUGAUGGUUAAUUGAUUCAGUUAAUCUUUUUCUACUGGGAAUAGCCCAAUUUGGGAGUAACACACUUCCUUCUUGGAGAUUGCAUUCUUAGUUAGAAUCAAGCUUUACUCCACACCAUGUGGAAUAGUCCAUUCCCUACCCUGUCCAUUUUUGCCUGAUGCAGGUCGAAGGAAAUGAACAUGGAUAACCUCAGGAAGCAGGGGAGGAAGAGUGUCUUUUCACAGAUGGGAAUGAGAGUGGACAAAGGGGGCAUUUACUCAAACCCUGGACUAGGGGCACUCAUUAUGACAAUGAAGGAUGUGCACAGAAGACAACCUGGACAAAAAAUGGGAAGAUGAACCAUGGGGACAUGCAUGGCCUUUCUGACACCCACUCACCCUGUUUCCUUCAUCAAGUCACCCAGUCUCCUCUACAAGACACGGGGGAAGGCCAAGCAUCUGGGGGUGCGGCACACCCCAGCACCUAGAGUCUGUCGUUCACGGACCCAUUUCCAUCUGCAGACUUUAUUAAAAAUCCUGAAUUUAUUUCAGAAGUAAUUCACAUUUCAAAGUGAAAAUUAAGGGGCUGGAGGUUCAAAAUUAGCGGAGCUACACUUCUCAAACUGAGGGGAUGACACUGAUCUUCUGUUCAUAUUGGGAAGAAAGAUAAUAUUAAUCACCCCAAGAAAUGUGUCUUUUAUUAUUGCCACUUGCAACAGAGUGCCAAUCUGUGAGAUGGCAAAUUUGCGCCCAGGUUAUAGAGUCUUCGUGUGAGGCAAAUUUUGCACAAGCUAGGAAAGUCAUUGCACAAAAAUUGCUUCCUGCAGAAUGCUUGGGCUGCUGGGAGUCAGCCUUAGUAUGUGCAGGGCAAUUGGGUCAUUCUUGCCUCGUGGCUUGGAUGGCAGGAGUGCAACGCACCCCCU